rnacentral:sRNA from 1 species
CCCUAGCCCGGAUUGCAGCGGUAUCCUUUUGCCGGCUUUUUAGCAGGUAAAAGAUACAAGCGGAAAGCCGGAAAUAGC